rnacentral:rRNA from 1 species
AUGGCCAUUGAGAGAUGGAGACCAUAUGUAUGCAGAGGCCCGUUUGUGAUCAAGACAGACCACAAGAGUUUGUGUCACUUGGAAACUCAAGCUAUUACUUCAGAUCUCCAGAGGAAAGCCAUGACUAAGUUGAUUGGCCUUCAGUUUCAGUUCCAGUACAAGAAGGGAGAAGAUAAUAAAGCAGCUGAUGCUCUGUCCAGGGUAGGGCAUGUAUUUGCCUUGCCUGCAGUUUCUUCAAGUCAGCCGGUCUGGAUUCAGGAAAUUCUCAACUCAUAUGAGAUUGACUGCAAAGCUCAACACCUCUUGUAG